CUACGGGCGGCUCCAGUGAGGAAUAUUGCACAAUGGAGGAAACUCUGAUGCAGCAACGCCGCGUGGAGGAUGACGCAUUUCGGUGUGUAAACUCCUUUUAUAUGUCAAGAAAAUGACGGUAGCAUAUGAAUAAGCACCGGCUAACUCCGUGCCAGCAGCCGCGGUAAUACGGAGGGUGCAAGCGUUACUCGGAAUCACUGGGCGUAAAGGACGCGUAGGCGGGAUAUCAAGUCAGUUGUGAAAUCCUACAGCUUAACUGUAGAACUGCACUUGAAACUGGUAACCUAGAGUAUGGGAGGGGGAGAUGGAAUUAGUGGUGUAGGGGUAAAAUCCGUAGAUAUCACUAGGAAUACCUAAAGCGAAGGCGAUCUCCUGGAACAUAACUGACGCUAAGGCGUGAAAGCGUGGGGAGCAAACAGGAUUAGAUACCCCAGUAGUC
rnacentral:rRNA from 1 species